GACGAACGCUGGCGGCGUGCCUAAUACAUGCAAGUCGAACGAACCGCGACUAAGUGCUUGCACUAAGUCAAGGUGAGUGGCGAACGGGUGAGUAACACGUGGGUAACCUACCUCAUAGUGGGGGAUAACAGUCGGAAACGACUGCUAAUACCGCAUAGGACAUAGGAUCACAUGAUCCAGUGAGGAAAGGUGGCGCAAGCUAUCGCUAAGAGAUGGACCCGCGGUGCAUUAGCUAGUUGGUAGGGUAAAGGCCUACCAAGGCGAUGAUGCAUAGCCGACCUGAGAGGGUGAUCGGCCACAUUGGGACUGAGACACGGCCCAAACUCCUACGGGAGGCAGCAGUAGGGAAUCUUCCGCAAUGGACGCAAGUCUGACGGAGCAACGCCGCGUGAGUGAAGAAGGUCUUCGGAUCGUAAAGCUCUGUUGUUAGAGAAGAACAGCGCAUAGAGUAACUGCUAUGCGUGUGACGGUAUCUAACCAGAAAGCCACGGCUAACUACGUG
rnacentral:rRNA from 1 species